rnacentral:lncRNA from 1 species
AUGGCUACUGCUGUGAUGCUGUGUGCUACACGGGCUCUGCGGCCUCUCAGCUGUAUCCCUGGAACCUGCCAGGCACAGGUCAGACACACCCACCAGAGAGCUUCCUUACUGCCCUUUGGGAGCUCAAUUCUUGUGAGAGCAGAACCUCUAUGAAAGAAGAAGGUAGACCCCAGAAAGGAACAAGCAGCAAAGGAUCGCCUGAAAAAGUGGAUCCGAAAACUGGAAAAGCCACCUAAGAACUGAUUCCUAUUGAAGAUUUUAUUAUCCCUGUGAGGUUCUUGGAUAAAUCAAGACAGCGACCUCAGGAGUAUUUGAGGAGAGUGAACAGAGAGCUCUUCUGCUGACGAGGUGGGCACUGUCUAAGCAGCAGGAGCUGGAGAGGGAUUCCAUCAAAGCCAUGCUGUGGAAGCACAGCAGGAAGCCCUGGAAGAGCUGAAACUUGACUCUACAGAGCUCCAAAGCAGGACACCAGCCUAUUCCCCUUUGAGAAAGAAGGGCACAUUACACACCACCUAUCUCUAAUGACCAGGUCCCUGAAGGCAGGUACAAUGAUAUCACC